GGGAACAAAGAAGUUGCAGAGGCCUCAGCUUCACAGAGCAUUGAGCAGUGGGUGAUAUUGUAUCCUCAGGCAGGGGUUGACCUCACAUUUCAGUGCAGGUCAUUCUAAUGACUGCUGGACCUCCCAGUGCCACUGUGAGCUAGAAUGGAAUAGAGUGAAGUGGAUCUGAAUUCCUGGACUGUGGGACCAACCUAACUUCUGAGCUGGAGAAAUGCUGGUCCCAAAGGCGAUAACAUCUAUGAAUGGAGAUCAACCAUUCUAGGGCCUCCAGGAUCCGUGUAUGAGGGUGGUGUAUUCUUUCUCGAUAUCACUUUUACACCAGAAUAUCCCUUCAAGCCUCCAAAGGUUACAUUUCGGACAAGAAUCUAUCAUUGUAAUAUUAACAGUCAAGGUGUUAUUUGCUUGGACAUAUUGAAAGAUAAUUGGAGUCCAGCACUAACCAUUUCUAAAGUCCUCCUUUCUAUCUGCUCACUUCUUACAGACUGUAAUCCUGCCGACCCCUUGGUGGGAAGUAUUGCCACUCAGUAUAUGACCAACAGAGCAGAACAUGACAGAAUGGCCAGACAGUGGACCAAGAGAUACGCUACAUAAAUUGGGGUUUCACGAUUCUUACAUUAUUUGUCUGUCACAGAAGAGAGCUGCUUAUGAUUUUGAAGGGGUCAGGGAGGGUGGGAGUUGGUAAAGAGUAGGGUAUUUCUAUAACAGAUAUUAUUCAGUCUUAUUUCCUAAGAUUUUGUUGUAACUUAAGGUAUCUUGCUACAGUAGACAGAAUUGGUAAUAGCAACUUUUAAAAUUGUCAUUAGUUCUGCAAUAUUAGCUGAAAUGUAGUACAGAAAAGAAUGUACAUUUAGACAUUU
rnacentral:sRNA from 1 species